rnacentral:rRNA from 1 species
GUGCCAGCAGCCGCGGUAAUACGUAGGGUGCAAGCGUUAAUCGGAAUUACUGGGCGUAAAGCGUGCGCAGGCGGUUGGUUAAGAUAGGCGUGAAAUCCCCGGGCUCAACCUGGGAACUGCGCUUAUGACUGGUCAGCUAGAGUACGGCAGAGGGGGGUGGAAUUCCACGUGUAGCAGUGAAAUGCGUAGAGAUGUGGAGGAACACCAGUGGCGAAGGCGGCUUCCUAGGCUGCUACUGACGCUGAGGCGCGAAAGCGUGGGGAGCUAACAGGAUCAGAUACCCUGGUAGUCCACGCCCUAA